GCUUUUUUUGCCGAUUUAUAUCUCGUCAUUUUAAUUUCAACUAUAUAAUUUGUUUCUUUGCCGAUUUAUAUCUCGUCAUUUUAAUUUCAACUAUCAGCUCUUAUAGUCAUAUAUGAUAUCUGAAUGUUAUACAAGUGGACAUAUGGAACUAUAUGUUUCAUUUUAUAACACAGAAAUUGUUUUCUCCAUAGAACAAGUAUGAACAAAAGUAAGUCUAGUUGCAGCUUAUUGAGUGCUCACAGUUCCUAUAAGUAAUGUAGAUAUUAAGUUAGCUUUAGCUUCUUCUAUGGAGAUAUAAUUACUUGCUCUAUUAAAAAUUAUUUUAAAUUGACAAUGAAUGCAUUCCUAUAUACAUUGAUCAAUGAUUGAAUAUUUGAAUUAGACAUAUUGUUUUUGGCUUAAAAUGAUAAAAUGAUAGUUACAUUUGUGCUCUUUACUUGAAAAUCAAUUUUAGGUAUAAAGAUGCUUUAGAUUACAUGUCUAAAGUUCCAUGUUUUUAGAUCUUAAUGGAUAUUGUUUUUCUGUCAAAAAAGUGAAUCAAAAUUAUUUAUUAUCUUUUCUUUCAAAUGUUGGAUUACUUGUAUUUUCUGAGAAUAAAUUAGAUUUGGCCUCCAUCCACCCCAAUCAUAGGCGGGAUUUGAUCUUUAAAUCUUUCGGCGUAUUUUUCCUUUGAUGGCUUGAAGUUAUUCAUUGCUGACAGUAUGGUGACAGAGAGGGCACAUAUCUUAGCUAAGACGACUGUGCCAGAUUUCGCCUUCUUUCAAAAAAUUUGUAAGCAUGUUUGGUCCGCAGGAAAAGUAUAAAACUUGAGACUAGUCCUACAAGAGAAAUGCAACCCCAGGCUAUGAAGGUCUUCAAUUAGCAUUUCCUUCCCAUGCACACCAAUUCUUUCCCCAACAGCGUCUCCAGCAGGUUGGUGCUUCCGCAUUGGCGUUGUAUACAAGAGCUGCAAAGUACACCUUGCUGCAUUGGUUGAAAUCCCCUCUCUUUUUGUUGCCUUGAUCUUCGAGAACUGUGAACUUCCGUAUGCAAAUCAUGGACAUGUUAUUCUAGUUGACCUUUCUCUAAUCUUGUUUUAUCGUAUUAGCAGCUCGGAAAUUCACUGUUUGGUUGACAUACCAGCUGGCCAUAAGCUACCUUCUUUUUACAAUGGUGACAUGGCUACUUAUUUGAAUGGAUAACGACAAGAAGUCCAAAAUUACCGAGAUGAUCAGCGUAAGGUCCUGUUGGAAGUGGUGAAGGAAACUGUAUUGUCCCAUCUUUACAAGAAAAUGUCCACCACAUGUUUAAGUGGUUGGCUUGCUUUGUUAAACUCAUGAGAAAGAAAGCACGCAUAAACUGCUUCGAAGAGUUGCUGUCAGUGGUGGCGCUUUUGCUAGUAAAAAUGUAACCAAAGUUCAUAUUCCAAUGCAAUGAACUGCUACGGAGAAUAAAAGAGUGCCCUGCUUAAAUCCUUGCUGCGAUUAACAUGGACGAUCAAGAACUCACAGAAAGCAUGAAAAAGCUUUUGAUUGUCAUGCAAAGACUGGAUAACAAAAUUGCUCCGAUGAUAGAAGCAGAUGGAGAACUAAGAGGUAUGCUGAUAUAUACACCUCUAAGGUCUCGAAUUUCCUAAACUAUACACCAUUGAUGUACUUCAACUCGCAGGCAGAGACGUUGGUUCAAUUUUGAGUGACAGCUUCUCUAGUGGCAGAAAAGGCGCUCAUGUUUAGUAGUAUAAUCGUUAUUUUUGAUGAAUAUUUUGGUGAACAUUUUCUGUUUGUGAUGUAAUGGAUGGAUGGAAUAUUUUCCAAUUUUAGAUUUUAUGAAUAUUUUCCGUUUUUUAAA